GCCUGGGUGGCUCAGUCGGUUGAGUGCCCAACUUCAGCUCAGGCCAUUGAUCUCACAGUUCAUGGGUUCAAGUCCCGUGUCAGGCU
rnacentral:tRNA from 1 species